rnacentral:rRNA from 1 species
UACGGAGGGUGCAAGCGUUAUCCGGAUUCACUGGGGUUAAAGGGUGCGUAGGUGGCUUUGUAAGUCAGCGGUGAAAGCCUGGAGCUCAACUCCAGAAUUGCCAUUGAUACUGCAGAGCUUGAAUCAAGUUGAGGUGGAUGGAAUAUUACAUGUAGCGGUGAAAUGCUUAGAUAUGUAAUAGAACACCGAUUGCGAAGGCAGUUCACUAAGCUUGUAUUGACACUGAGGCACGAAAGCGUGGGGAUCAAACAGG